rnacentral:rRNA from 1 species
AGAGUUUGAUUAUGGCUCAGGACGAACGCUGGCGGCACGCUUAACACAUGCAAGUCGAACGGAGUUAUUUGGAGCUUGCUCUGAAUAACUUAGUGGCGGACGGGUGAGUAACACGUGAGCAACCUGCCUUUGAGAGUGGAAUAGCUUCUGGAAACGGAUGGUAAUACCGCAUAACAUUACCGGACCGCAUGAUCUGGUAAUCAAAGAUUUAUCGCUCAAAGAUGGGCUCGCGCCUGAUUAGAUAGUUGGUGGGGUAACGGCCUACCAAGUCGACGAUCAGUAGCCGGACUGAGAGGUUGGACGGCCACAUUGGGACUGAGACACGGCCCAGACUCCUACGGGAGGCAGCAGUGGGGAAUAUUGCACAAUGGGCGGAAGCCUGAUGCAGCGAUGCCGCGUGGAGGAAGAAGGUUUUUCGGAUUGUAAACUCCUUAUCUGAGGGACGAUAAUGACGGUACCUCAGGAGAAAGCUCCGGCUAACUACGUGCCAGCCGCUGC